AUUGAACGCUGGCGGCAUGCUUUACACAUGCAAGUCGAACGGUAACAGGCCUUCGGGUGCUGACGAGUGGCGCACGGGUGAGUAAUGCAUCGGAACGUGCCCAGAGGUGGGGGAUAUCGCAUCGAAAGCUGUGCUAAUACCGCACGUGAUCUGAGGAUGAAAGCGGGGGACCAGGCAGCAAUGUUUGGCCUCGCGCCUUUGUAGCGGCCGAUGUCGGAUUAGUUAGUUGGUGGGGUAAAGGCCUACCAAGGCGACGAUCUGUAGCUGGUCUGAGAGGACGACCAGCCACACUGGAACUGAGACACGGCCCAGACUCCUACGGGAGGCAGCAGUGGGGAAUUUUGGACAAUGGGCGAAAGCCUGAUCCAGCAAUGCCGCGUGGGGGAAGAAGGCCUUCGGAUUGUAAAGCACUUUAAGGUGGGAGGAAGGGCAGUAAGUUAAUACCUGGCUGUUUUGACGGUACCAAAAGAAUAAGCACCGGCUAACUUCGUG
rnacentral:rRNA from 1 species